rnacentral:tRNA from 1 species
GCCUGGGGGGCUCAGUGGUUGAGCAUCUGGCUUCAGCUCAGGUUGAGAUCCCAGGGUCCUGGGAUCGAGUCCCACAUCGGGCU